CCGCGGGCCGCCAUCGCUAUUGCGGGGUCCUGUGUCGGCUGCGGCUGCGUGGCCGACUGUGCCCUUCCUCUGUGAGCUAGGGCUCGCAGCCCACGAGGGAAGACCGGGGAGGAGAAGUUAGGAGGGGCUGAUGGGCCGAGCGUUCUGAGGAGGGCGGCAGCUCCCGCCCCCGAGUGGCGCGCCUGGCCGCCUCGGUUGCUGUCAUGGCCGCCGGGCCACGUGACUCUGGCCGGGCGCCGGCCUGUCUUCCUGUCUAGUUCAGUAGUCUCGGUUCACCGACUCCCUCCUUUUCUCGCUUGCGGACCACGAUACUGCUUUUCUUUCCUCAGAAGCACUGCUGACAGACUCUGAAAAAUCCAAAGAUAUCUGGAGAAAAUGACACAUUGGUUUCAUAGGAACCCAUUAAAAGCCACUGCUCCUGUCUCUUUUAACUACUAUGGUGUAAUCACUGGCCCUCCUGCUUCAAAAAUUUGCAAUGACUUGAGAUCAUCCAGGGCAAGACUCCUUGAACUGUUCACUGAUUUGAGCUGUAAUCCAGAAAUGAUGAAGAAUGCAGCAGAUUUGUAUUUUUCACUUUUACAAGGUUUCAUAAAUUCAUCGGAUGAGUCUACUCAAGAAAGCAAGUUACGAUAUAUUCAAAAUUUCAAGUGGACUGAUACAUUACAAGGACAGGUUCCCAGUGCUCAGCAGGAUGCUGUUUUUGAAUUAAUCUCCAUGGGAUUUAAUGUAGCUUUAUGGUAUACUAAGUAUGCUUCAAGACUGGCUGGGAAAGAAAACAUAACAGAGGAUGAAGCAAAAGAUGUCCAUCGAAGCUUAAAAAUUGCAGCUGGGAUUUUUAAACAUUUGAAGGAAAGUCACAUCCCAAAACUUAUCACACCUGCAGAAAAGGGAAGGGAUCUGGAGGCCCGGCUCAUAGACGCUUACGUUAUCCAGUGUCAGGCUGAAGCUCAAGAAGUAACAAUUGCUCGAGCAAUUGAACUAAAACAUGCACCUGGACUAAUUGCGGCACUGGCAUAUGAAACAGCCAAUUUCUAUCAGAAAGCUGAUCAUACUUUAUCCAGUUUGGAGCCUGCAUACUCUGCUAAAUGGAGAAAAUAUCUUCACUUGAAAAUGUGUUUCUACACAGCUUAUGCUUACUGUUAUCAUGGUCAGACAUUGUUGGCUAGUGAUAAAUGUGGUGAAGCAAUCAGGUCUCUCCAAGAAGCAGAAAAAUUUUAUGCAAAGGCAGAAGCACUAUGCAAAGAAUAUGGAGAAACAAAAGGACCUGGACCAACAGUCAAACCAUCAGGACACUUGUUCUUCAGGAAACUUGGAAACCUCGUGAAGAAUACACUAGAAAAAUGUCAGAGAGAAAAUGGGUUUAUUUACUUUCAGAAAAUUCCAGCCGAAGCUCCACAACUGGAACUCAAAGCAAAUUAUGGUCUUGUAGAGCCUGUACCUUUUGAAUUUCCUCCUGCAAGUACUCAGUGGACACCAGAAACAUUGGCUGCCUUUGAUCUCACCAAGAGACCCAAGGAUGACAGUGUAUGAGAUUGAAUUUUUUCCUUCCAUUCACAAAAGUUUAAAAAGAAUUCAGAAAGGUGCAGUUGGAUAAGAGGAAUGGCUUCCAAUGUUCUGUUGCACAGGAGGGCCAAACCCAAACCAGAAGAAGAUGUGAAACCCGUGAAAGAACCAGAUAUCAAACCCCAAAAAGACACUGGUUGCUACCUAUCCUAACAUACUUCUGGAAUAAGAUGUGCACUUAAAAUUUACUGCUUGUGGAUAAGAUAAACCAUGGACCUUAGUUCAUUUUUCUUAAAAUGAUUUCUCUGAAACUUUAGAAUUACUACAUUCAGAGGGAACCUGGCUCCAGUUUAUUUGUUCUUGAUUUUGAAUACAGUGGAGAUGACUCCAUGCUUUGUUUCCAGACUCCUUUUUAAUCAGGACAACGCUUGAAAGAUUUUAUUGUGCCUCUUAUGGGUGUAUUUGGGAGUUAGGUCUUUUUUUGAACUCUGGAUAAUAAUAAUUUCAGAUUAAUAUAUUAUAGUUGUAAAUCAUGUAGCUUUCACAUUCAGGUAUAUUUUCACAAAAGAGUUUAUGUUCUUCCUUAUUUGAUCCCUGAAGAAUGAUGGGAAUUAGUUUUUAACAAAGACAGGGUUUUUUUUCCCCUCACCGUUGUAUUAGUUUGAAUACAGACCUGAUAUGGUCUGCGUCAUUUAUCUUUUCUGGUAGAAAAACAGUGACUUAAAGAUCAGAACACUUUCAUACCAAAUCCCUUAAAUAGAUUAGAAUCUAUAAUUUACUUGAAAAUCAGUGUUUAUAGGUAUGUUGAGUCUUUCAAGAAUGUAUCUCUAUUCUUAUAGCCCUGUGUUUCAUUCUGUUUCAGUAACCCUAAGUUGAUUUUUACAAGUACGUUUUCUAAUGGGUUUUUUACUUAGAGAAAGAACUUUGUUAACAGCUGUUAAUGUUUCUUAUGGAAGAGAAGACAGUACAAAUAGAAAAUGUUUUUUGAAGUAAAAUUUUUUGUGAUGUAAAGAAGAAACUUUAAUUACGUGAGGUAGGUUGUCCUGAAUUAUACUGGUAGCUCUUUACUUCUGUGGUAAAGAAGUUACAGUAAAAUGCCUUUGUUGCCUGAUUCAGUGUACAUUGUUUUUUUAUGGUUUUCUAAUACAUGUGUCCUGUCGGGAUUGUAUUGCUUUAGUCCAAAGGCCAUAGCAAAAACUUAGAGAACAAACUUAAAUACAGUGUAAUAUGAAUAAUAGAUUGUAAUCUUGGGAACAGGUAGGUUAGCAUGUGCACAGACUUGGAAAAUAGUGGAGGCAUAAUACUGUAACAAAAGUCACACAUCUGUAAGUUUAUCUUUUGAUUAUUCUCCUGGCAUGUUAGCCAGUUUUCCUAUUGUAAUGGACAGAUCAGUCCACUUAAUAGAAAUAAUAGUGUGUAUGGAGAACUUGCUGUUUGCCAGGCACUGUGCUGAGCAGUUACAGAUAAACCAUUAAUUCCACAGAACAGCCUUGUGAGGAAUGAAUAAAAUCUGCACAAAGUGCUAAUGUAGUAAUACACAUUUCAUUGUGAAGAAUGACUAGAAUAUGCCCAAGUCAAUAUUGUGAUCAGAUGAGUGAUUACUUAAAUCCUGUAUUGUAGUUUACACUGCUUUAGAGACACUCCUUAGGAAACACUACACAGAAUCAGUGUGUUUUUUUUUUUAAUAUACAGAAUUGCUAAUUUGUGCUUACAGUAUGAUAUUUAAUAUUUGAAACCACAGUUUCCAGAGUAAGUGGAGUAAUAACAAACAGGCAUUUAGUUUUAUUUUGUUGUCUAUGGGAAAAAAUAAUUUAUUAAACUUCCCCAUAUCUUGUGUGAUCCUCAUUACAGAGUCCAUCGUCAUCUUUGCUGUUUAGCCAUUUACUGACAAAAUCCUGCGCAGCACUGCACAACUCUUUUCUUUCUACCUAUAGGACUUGUUUAUCUUAGGUAAUAGAGCCUAUUAACCUAGUUACUAAAUUUUCACAUUGACAUUUUUGUGUAUUCUAUUACCAUACAUGAAAUGGAAACAUGUAUUAUGCCCAGUGCUUCUGUAGAACUCAGUAAAUACUGGUAUUACUUUAAAUCAGUAAUUAAACAUUCUAUUGGCUCAGCAAAGGUGAUACUCUGUGAUUAAAGUAUCCCAUGCCAUCAUAUUUAAUGCUUUCUGACAUGACAUUGAGAAUUUGGGGAAAUUACCAAAUUCAGAGUUGUGUGAAAAUUAGAGAGAUGUAACUAUUUGUGUUAACUGCAUUUGGUACCACGCAGUGACAGCUAACAUAUUACUUCUGCUAAAGGUGUUAUUUGUAUAAUGAGUUAUCUUUUUAUUUAUGAAAAUAAAAGUAAUUUUACUUAGAAA